CUAGAACUGGACGAUGAAUUUUAACCUCCACACCACAAGCACUGGGGUAGAAGACUGCUGCUGGGUGAAGAAGAGACUAGACUUGAUCAUUGAGCAGCCACUCACUGAUAUCUUCAGUGCUGCAUGAGGAAGAACCGGCCCCUGAGAUUUGCUGCUCAGAACCUGAGUUCACUGAGACAUAGGGAGCAAGCACUGGAGAUCCGGUGCUGC
rnacentral:lncRNA from 1 species